GAUGAACGCUGGCGGCGUGCUUAACACAUGCAAGUCGAGCGAGAAGUUUUGAAAAGAUUCUUCGGAUGAAAUUUAAAAUGGAAAGCGGCGGACGGCUGAGUAACGCGUAGGCAACCUGCCCCAUACAAAGGGAUAGCAUUUGGAAACGAAUAUUAAUACCUUAUGAAACUUAACUAGUGCAUGCUAGGUAGGUCAAAGAUUUAUCGGUAUGGGAUGGGCCUGCGUCUGAUUAGCUAGUUGGUGAGGUAACGGCUCACCAAGGCGACGAUCAGUAGCCGACCUGAGAGGGUGAACGGCCACAUUGGAACUGAGACACGGUCCAAACUCCUACGGGAGGCAGCAGUGGGGAAUAUUGCACAAUGGGGGAAACCCUGAUGCAGCAACGCCGCGUGAACGAUGAAGGCCUUUGGGUCGUAAAGUUCUGUUCUAGGUGAUGAAAACUGACAGUAACCUAGGAGAAAGCCCCGGCUAACUCCGUG
rnacentral:rRNA from 1 species